rnacentral:rRNA from 1 species
UACGUAGGUGGCAAGCGUUGUCCGGAUUUACUGGGCGUAAAGAGCGCGCAGGCGGUCGUUCAAGUCGCGUGUGAAAGCCCCCGGCUCAACUGGGGAGGGUCACGCGAUACUGAUCGACUGGAAGGCAGGAGAGGGUAGUGGAAUUCCAGGUGUAGCGGUGAAAUGCGCAGAUAUCAGGAGGAACACCGAUGGCGAAGGCAGGUCUCUGGGCCACUACUGACGCUGAGAAGCGAAAGCAUGGGGAGCGAACAGG